AGGCUGAGCGGCUUGUGGCUUCCCUAGCAUCACAUCCCAGCUGGCCUGACCUGGCCCCCAGCUCCCAGCCCCACCCGGGAGCUUCCAGCCUGUGUAUCCGAUCCUGUUCGGGGCUCUGCAUCAGAGCCUGCCCUGUCAGCCUCCCAAACAGCUGAAAAGACAGGUAGGAGGGCGGGCCCAGACCGCUGCCGCCGGGAAUCUGGGAGGAUGAGCCACUGAGCCACAGACUGCGAAAUCUGGGAGGCCCUGCGGCCCCACAUGGACACACUCCUUCUCCUCCAGACUCUGCAGCUGGAUUGACUCCGCCUCCUGGAAGCCCUCCAGGGAUAGCAAAGGAGCCCAGAGAGAGGCCCAGUAAGAACCCCCUUGGAGCACUGGGAGGUGCCUUCCAGAAGGGAGAGAGGUCCCUAACUGCCAACCCUCAGCUGCUGCUGAAACUCCAAGCCUGGCCCUGUCAGCUUUGGUGAGAGAGUGGAGAGAGAGUUCUUGCAAAGCUGACCUGUUUUCCCUGCACUUUGGGGGAUCUCAGAGGCCCCGGCCACACUGGGAGAUGUGUAAAGGGAGGGGCUGGCGGUGCCCUGGUCACAGGGAAGGAGAGACAGGGUGUGGAGGAGGCUGGGUCCCUGCCCAACAGGACCUGGGCUUCAAACCCUGGUGCCCUGGCUCCUGAGCCCCUACUGCCCUCCCCAGCUUGGAUGCUACACCUUUAUUAAUAUUGCAAACCAACCCUGCCCCUGCCAGCCACUGUUGCCCAUAGACCUGACCAUCAUCAUUAAACCCCUAAGCCCACGCGGGACCUCAGACCCCCGGCCCUCCCCACCCCAGGCCCCUGCGGCCCCCAUGGCAGUGGUUCUUUCCCUUUUUAUCUUCUGUGAGCCUCGUUCCUCCCAAUU